AGCUACAGGCUUAACACAUGCAAGUCGAGGGGCAGCAUGAACUUAGCUUGCUAAGUUUGAUGGCGACCGGCGCACGGGUGAGUAACGCGUAUCCAACCUUCCGUACACUCAGGAAUAGCCUUUCGAAAGAAAGAUUAAUACCUGAUGGUAUGAUGAGAUUGCAUGAAAUCAUCAUUAAAGAUUCAUCGGUGUACGAUGGGGAUGCGUUCCAUUAGAUAGUAGGCGGGGUAACGGCCCACCUAGUCGACGAUGGAUAGGGGUUCUGAGAGGAAGGUCCCCCACAUUGGAACUGAGACACGGUCCAAACUCCUACGGGAGGCAGCAGUGAGGAAUAUUGGUCAAUGGGCGCGAGCCUGAACCAGCCAAGUAGCGUGAAGGAUGAAGGUCCUACGGAUUGUAAACUUCUUUUAUAAGGGAAUAAAGUCACCUACGUGUAGGUGUUUGUAUGUACCUUAUGAAUAAGCAUCGGCUAACUCCGUGCCAGCAGCCGCGGUAAUACGGAGGAUGCGAGCGUUAUCCGGAUUUAUUGGGUUUAAAGGGAGCGUAGACGGGUCGUUAAGUCAGCUGUGAAAGUUUGAGGCUCAACCUUAAAAUUGCAGUUGAUACUGGCGUCCUUGAGUACGGUUGAGGCAGGCGGAAUUCGUGGUGUAGCGGUGAAAUGCAUAGAUAUCACGAAGAACUCCGAUUG
rnacentral:rRNA from 1 species